UGAACGCUGGCGGCGUGCCUACUACAUGCACAUCGAGCGAACAGAUGAGGAGCUUGCUCCUCUGACGUUAGCGGCGGACGGGUGAGUAACACGUGGAUAACCUACCUAUAAGACUGGGAUAACUUCGGGAAACCGGAGCUAAUACCGGAUAAUAUAUUGAACCGCAUGGUUCAAUAGUGAAAGACGGUUUUGCUGUCACUUAUAGAUGGAUCCGCGCCGCAUUAGCUAGUUGGUAAGGUAACGGCUUACCAAGGCGACGAUGCGUAGCCGACCUGAGAGGGUGAUCGGCCACACUGGAACUGAGACACGGUCCAGACUCCUACGGGAGGCAGCAGUAGGGAAUCUUCCGCAAUGGGCGAAAGCCUGACGGAGCAACGCCGCGUGAGUGAUGAAGGUCUUCGGAUCGUAAAACUCUGUUAUUAGGGAAGAACAAAUGUGUAAGUAACUAUGCACGUCUUGACGGUACCUAAUCAGAAAGCCACGGCUAACUACGUG
rnacentral:rRNA from 1 species